GAUUGGAAGGGUUCUUGUAACAUACCGAACUUCUAAAAUCAUGAAGUCACGGUGUACAUUUAAAUGGUUCCCGUGAGGUUGCGGUAGAAUGUAACAUACCGGAUUUUAAAUAUAAAAAUAAAAAUAAAUAAAAAUAGUAUGAGAUACUAUUUUAUCGGAUUUAGAGAAGCGAAAUAUAGGUUGGGAGUGACCUGUGCUGAAAUCGGAGCGAAAACAAAAGAUUUAGAAUUUUAUGUGAGAAACGGGGCAGAUAAAUUAGCAAAAAAUGCACAGUGUCAGAAAAUUAUGAAAAUUGGAGGAGAUGUCAGAAAUAUUUUUGUGAGGUUAGAUUUAAAGUUUCAUGUUAUUCUGACACCCGUAGAGAGAGAAAUAAAAUCCGAAAGCUAUCUGAUAAAGAUUGCAGUUCGGUACAGUUUAGUGACCAAACGGGGUCGAAACUGAAAUAUUAAAAUUUCUUUGGACUUAUUAAGUAAAACCGAACAUGUCUGUCAAAUUUGAGCUCAAACGGACAUUCAGAAGG
rnacentral:lncRNA from 1 species